rnacentral:rRNA from 1 species
GACAGAGGGUGCAAACGUUGUUCGGAAUUACUGGGCGUAAAGCGUGCGCAGGCGGUUUGUUAAGACAGGUGUGAAAUCCCCGGGCUCAACCUGGGAAUGGCGCUUGUAACUGGCAGGCUAGAGUGUGUCAGAGGGAGGUAGAAUUCCACGUGUAGCAGUGAAAUGCGUAGAGAUGUGGAGGAAUACCGAUGGCGAAGGCAGCCUCCUGGGAUAACACUGACGCUCAGGCACGAAAGCGUGGGGAGCAAACAGG